UACAGAGGGGGCAAGCGUUGUUCGGAAUCACUGGGCGUAAAGGGCGCGUAGGCGGGAUGGCAAGUCGGUCGUGAAAUCCUUCGGCUCAACCGAAGAACGUCGGCCGAUACUGCCGUUCUUGAGGGAUGCAGAGGAGAUUGGAAUUCCCGGUGUAGCGGUGAAAUGUGUAGAGAUCGGGAGGAACACCGGUGGCGAAGGCGGGUCUCUGGGCAUCUCCUGACGCUGAGGCGCGAAAGCGUGGGGAGCAAACGGG
rnacentral:rRNA from 1 species